GGUACGAUGUAAGAUGUUCGUGUUCAAUGGAGUACGGUGGUCCGAUUGACUGUUAGAAGCGUCAUUGAAAACGUCGUUUUGAUAAAAUUAUUUAUGUGUUAAUAAAGUUUCCAGAAGACGCAGUUUACUUGAUAAUCUUGUAGCGAACAUACAAAACACAUUUAUUAAAUAUGAGACGUAAAAGUGAAAGGAACAAAGCAAAAAUGGGAACCCCAGAAAAGGAAGCUGAAAAGCCGGUGAAAAAGUCAACACGUAGACGUGCAAAACGGACACCUUCAGUGUCGCCAGAAAAAGAUAAUGACAAAGUAUCAAAAAGCGUUGGUAGCAAGGAAACAGAAAAGAAGUCAGUACAACCUCAAAAAAAAGAAUUAGAACCGAUAGAAGAACAUAACGAACAAAUUUUAACUACUGAGGUGGAUAGUAAGACCAAGGUGCAAGAAAAUGAAGAGGAUAAUACUGAUGGAUCAGUUUGGAAAGUGUCAAGAGCCGAUGCAUCACCUGGAGAGAUACAGAAGCUGAAGUUAUGUAGACAACUCAAUCUGUCAGAAGGAUCAUCUGAUACUUCUUUAAGCAGGAAAAAAUCGAACAAGUGGCAGGAAAGUGGUGAGGGAGUUGCAGAGGAGGCUGACUCGGCAGACAAGCAACUGGCUUCUUGUACAAGAAUGCUCAGCAGCGAUGAACAGCCGAACGAUCCCUCCUCUUCAUACCCAGGUCAGGACUCCAACGAAGAGGUAAGUGAUAGCAAGGAGAUCCUGCCUGAAACCACUUCAGCCAACUUGUCUGACGAUAAACCAAACAUAGAUCAACAAGGUGAAUCAAAUGAGGCAAAUAUCUCCAACGAAAACGCUGAUAGUGAACCCAUUAAGUUGAGUAGCACAACCAUGUUGGCUCCUAACACAAAUGAUGAUCGCUCAUCCAAGGAGAUAAUUGUUACACCAAUGGAAGAAAAGUCUGUGGAAGAUGUCAGUGAAAAGUCAGCAGAAGCAUUUAAUAAAGAAACUAGCAUUGAAAAUGUUAAAAGAGAGACAAGCAGUGAUGACGAUGAUGAAAAAACAAAAGCACGUGAAAUCAAUUCGUCAUCCGAAUCGAACGACGAAGUUCAUACUAAAAGUAAUAGAACCAGCGGCAGAAUACAAAGUGCCAGUCGCAGGAAACGUAUAACCAAAUAUAGAGAUUCGUCCAAUUCUGAUACUAAUUCAGAUUCGGAGGAUGAACCUCCUAUUAAGAGAGAUCUUGAAAUUGAUACUUAUAUGCAAGAAGAAAAGAUAAGUACAGAGGAUUCACAUGAACAAAAAGAUCAUUCUGAGUCACCAAAAGCAAGAAAUAAUUUGUUAAAUAAUGCAAACAUGGAAGUAGAACAUAAUGAAGGAAAUAAACAAAAAUUGGAUAGUUUAAAUGAUAAUUCUGUAUCAGCUACAGCACAAUCCAUAACUUAUAAGCCUGUAAAAGUGAAUUUGAAGAGAUCAUUCUCCUUAAGAAUGUUAACAGAGAAGAAUGACGUGAAAAGAGAUGAUAAUGAUGGAAAUAUAAAUAAUGAAACCACUAUUUCGAACAAGGAAAAUCAUGAUAAUAUUGAACAAGAUUCAAAAUGUGUUCCAAGGAAACGUCGGUGGGGCACUGCAUUAUCUACCGAUACCGCACCAUCAUUUUCAAUUUCCACGGAUUCACUUAAAGCAUUGGUGCCAGGUGCGAGACCGUUAUCGAUAAACGAAGUUCGCCUCUCAAAAGAUGAUGAUGAGGACAGAGAUCGAUAUCGGGUCACUGAAAAAUGGCAUAAUUCUAAUGAAGGAGCAAAUGAUAAUAAAUCCGGUGACGAAGCUCUCGUACAAAAGAAUGGUGGAACAAAGAAAGGCGACACAAAGACAGAUAAUCAUAUAGCAAUUAGGCGUAAAAUAUCAAUUGUCAAAGAAACGCCACAUGUGAAAUCUCCAAGUCCGCCUGCCACAAAGCCGACGAAUAUUCUGUUGAUUAAAAAUUUGGUUCGCCCUUUUACUUUAAAUCAAAUUAAAGAGCUCCUUUCACGUACUGGCACAAUCGUCGAAAAUGGAUUUUGGAUGGAUAGAAUUAAAUCAAAAUGUUUUGUAGAGUAUUCUAAUGAGGACCAGGCAUUUGAAACGAGACAAGCGUUACAUGGUAUAUCCUGGCCUGUUUCAAAUCCGAAGAGGCUACAUGUUGAGUAUGCAACCAAAGAUGAUAUGGAAUUGGCACGAGAAUUAUCAAAAGAUCAGUCGAUUCCAAGAAAAACUGAGCCGCUUGUACCAUCCGAUUCGUGGCAACAGGAUUGGAACCGUGAGGAAAGAACAAAUACAAAGGUGAUGGUAGUCCGAGAAUGGGAUCUGGGUAAAGAAGAUGGUCAGCAACACAUGAAGGAGAAGGAACGUGAAAAGAAGGAUCACGAUAAGAAGAGGCGACAGAGGAGUCGAAGUCCUGCGGUGGAGGCUCAUCUUCCAGCUCCAGCUCGUAAAUUUAAAAAAAAAGAAGACGAACCACCACCGGCUAAACUUUUAGACGAUCUCUUUAGAAAGACAAAGGCAACACCGUGCAUAUAUUGGUUACCGCUUACAAACGAACAGUCAUUUUCUGAUAUAACAAACAAACAAAGUUUAUAGAACAGUGACGCAUUUAAGUGAGUUAUUCUGUGUAAUAAAUGUAGGAAUCAAUUGCUUACUAUUGUUUACAAACAUAGUUUAGAUAGUCGUGAAAGAAGAAAUGAGAAGACAACAUAUGGCAGAACAUGCCCGCAGAUUAGAAGAAAUGA
rnacentral:misc_RNA from 1 species